UACGUAGGUGGCGAGCGUUGUCCGGAUUUAUUGGGCGUAAAGCGCGCGCAGGCGGUCCGUUACGUCCGUUGUGAAAGCUCCCGGCUCAACUGGGAGAGGUCUUCGGAUACGGGCGGACUCGAGGAAGGUAGAGGAAGGUGGAAUUCCCGGUGUAGUGGUGAAAUGCGUAGAGAUCGGGAGGAACACCAGUGGCGAAGGCGGCCUUCUGGGCCUUUCCUGACGCUGAGGCGCGAAAGCGUGGGGAGCAAACAGG
rnacentral:rRNA from 1 species